GCUGUAGCUCAGUGAUGGAACACUUGCCUUGCAUGCAGAAGGUCCCAGGUUCAAUCCCUGACAUCUCCA